CAGACGUAAGAGUGCGGUACAAACCACUAAAAAUUUUCGGUACCAUGUUUUCUUCUUCUUUGUUGGGCAGAAGUUUAACGAGGGGGCUAGUUAUUACCAUUUUUCGGUUGUUUUUUACGCAUCGGUUUACCCCUCCUGACAAAAUUUUGACAGUUUCGCCCGUUUCGCCUGUUUGGCUCCGCCGACUCCGUCACCACCGCCGCGUCAAAAGUUUGUUGUUGUUGUGCUCCCAUUUUAGCUUUUCGUAAGAUUCGAUUGCUGGAGUUUUUUGGUAUUAUUGCUCUUGUUUUCGUAAUGCUAGCGUACAAAAGCGCCAGGUUAAGCGGUUCUGGAGUGCCAAUAGCUCGCGUAUUCACAGCAGACGUCGCAGCGUCAGUAAGUUCCAGCCGAAACCGUGCGGCAUGCCACAUCAUCUCCACAUCCCUGCCGUAGAUUCGAUCAAAUCCUUGAUCGUUGUUGCUCUCCCGGGUAACCGCAACACCUGACAUGUGUGAGCCACACCACAGCAAGAACAUUCUGCCAGGGAAGGCAAAUUCUACGAGAUCCGUGAGGAUGCGGUCGCUAUGAGGUCUGGAGAGGCACUUCGGAAAUAUCGUCGGGAACUUCGAAAAGGCCGACGUUGGGGUGGAGGAAACAAGAGAGAACACGUUAAAAAUUCAUAAAUCACAGGAAGCUUACGGAGAUGCCUAGGCGACGGAAGAGCCGCACCUAGGAUCGUCUGUGCAAAAAGCGAAACGAUUUUGCCGUGAGGAAAAACAGCAAAGCGGGUAAACCAGGUGAACCAUGAUGGAUCAGCACAUGGGGAAAGGGGUGCCUAGGAUACUUAGGUGGGUGGGGCGUUUCUGUGGUCUCUAUAAUCCAUCCGAAAAGUCUCCAGGAUUCUGAACAAUACAACCGAAACAUCUAAGGGUUCUACAAUAGUGAUCUGAAUUUGUUGCUAAUAAGUGUCACCAUGUUCUCUCAGAAUGCGACGCAGAACGCUUGAAACUUAUGGAGUUACUCCAGUGGUCCUUGAAUCAGCCUUCCACUAGAUUUUUAUUUGACUCAGAAGGUUCACCACUUCCUCCCAAAUUGCAUGGUGAUGCAAGACAUCAUGCCCCACUCAAAGAAGCUGUGUUCUCAUUUGGUUCACCAAGUCCUCCUAAAAUGCAUGGUGAUGCAAGACAUCAUGCUCCACUCAAAGAAGCUUUGUUCUCAUUUGGUUUACCAAGUCCUCCUAAAAUGCAUGGUGAUGCAAGACAUCAUGAUCCACUUAAAGAAGCUUUGUUCUCAUUUGGUUCACCAAGUCCUCCUAAAAUGCAUGGUGAUGCAAGACAUCAUGCUCCACUCAAAGAAGCUUUGUUUCAGCUAGGUUCACCAAGUACUCCUGAAAUGCAUGGUGAUGCAAGACAUCAUGCUCCACUCAAAGAAGCUUUGUUCUAAUUUGGUUCACCAAGUCCUCCUAAAAUGCAUGGUGAUGCAA